rnacentral:rRNA from 1 species
GACGAACGCUGGCGGCGUGCCUAAUACAUGCAAGUCGAGCGAGCUGAAUUCAAAGAUCCCUUCGGGGUGAUUUGUUGGACGCUAGCGGCGGAUGGGUGAGUAACACGUGGGCAAUCUGCCCUAAAGACUGGGAUACCACUUGGAAACAGGUGCUAAUACCGGAUAACAACAUGAAUCGCAUGAUUCAAGUUUGAAAGGCGGCGUAAGCUGUCACUUUAGGAUGAGCCCGCGGCGCAUUAGCUAGUUGGUGGGGUAAAGGCCUACCAAGGCGAUGAUGCGUAGCCGAGUUGAGAGACUGAUCGGCCACAUUGGGACUGAGACACGGCCCAAACUCCUACGGGAGGCAGCAGUAGGGAAUCUUCCACAAUGGACGCAAGUCUGAUGGAGCAACGCCGCGUGAGUGAAGAAGGUUUUCGGAUCGUAAAGCUCUGUUGUUGGUGAAGAAGGAUAGAGGCAGUAACUGGUCUUUAUUUGACGGUAAUCAACCAGAAAGUCACGGCUAACUACGUGCCAGCAGCCGCGGUAAUACGUAGGUGGCAAGCGUUGUCCGGAUUUAUUGGGCGUAAAGCGAGCGCAGGCGGAAUGAUAAGUCUGAUGUGAAAGCCCACGGCUCAACCGUGGAACUGCAUCGGAAACUGUCAUUCUUGAGUGCAGAAGAGGAGAGUGGAAUUC